CCUACGGGUGGCAGCAGUCGAGAAUCAUUCACAAUGGGGGAAACCCUGAUGGGGCGACGCCGCGUGGGGGAAUGAAGGUCUGCGGAGUGUAAACCCCUGUCAUGUGGGAGCAAAUUAAAAAGAUAGUACCACAAGAGGAAGAGACGGCGAACGCUGAGCCAGCAGCCGCGGUAAUACAGAGGGCUCAAGCUUGUGUCGGAAUCACUGGGCGUAAAGCGUGCGUAGGCUGUGUCGUAAGGCGGGUGUGAAAGGCGCGGGCUCAACCCGCGGACGGCACCUGAUACGGCGAGACUAGAGUACUGGAGAGGGAACCGGAAUUCUCGGUGUAGCCGUGAAAUGCGUAGAUAUCGGGAGGAACACUCGUGGCGAAGGCGGGUUCCUGGACCUUAACUGACGCUGAGGCACGAAAGCCCGGGGAGCGAAAAGGAUUAGAUACCCGGGUAGUC
rnacentral:rRNA from 1 species